UCUAUACUUCCAGACUGGUUUGUGUCCCGUGUCCCGAGCCGCCGCUGCACGAUUGCCUCUUCUUCCUCGCACCCCGCCUCUUCCGGCUCGCACGUAGCACCUCCCCUACCUCGCAGCUUCUCCCUGCUCCGCCUCACCGCUGUUCAAUUCGACGAACCCCUCGACCCUGGCCGGACGCGAUGGGCAGGUCGCCGGCAGCCCCAACCCCGACCCCCAGGUCGCCGACAGCAUCAACCACGACCCCCUGGUCGCCGGCUGUCCCAAUCCCAACCCCCAAGGAGGCGGAUGCGUCAAUCCCGGCGCUCAGGGUGCCGGAUGUGUCGUCGACAGCAGAUCUGAGGAGCACAAGGGUGAACUCUUGCGUGCCAUAAAAUUUGAGAAGGCUAAUGGCCCGGAUCUUGAGGAGCACAAGGCUGCUAGUGAGCUCCAUGUGGAACCACCAAAGUGCAAGAAAAGGAAGCGAAGUAGGCAGAGUAGCGGCAAGCUUCAUGCAUCUCAAAGACUGAUGGACAGUGAGCUAGCCGUCUACUUUUAAAAUGUCCUGAUGUCCAUAUAUCAAUAUCCACUGCCCACAGAAAUCAAGUAAAAAUGACUAAAUGGUUUUUACGUACGAGAUCGCCCAGUGUUCUAUAAUAAUGAGAUCGCCCAGCCAAAAAUGCCCAUAUAAAAAAGACUGAUGGACAGUGAGCUAGCUGUCUGCUAUUUAAAUAAAGAUCUCAGAAUCUGCAAGCUGACAUUUUUUCUCUUAUAUGGGUUCUGCUAGCUGUCUGCUAUUUAAAUAAAGAUCUCAAAAUCUGCAAGCUGACAUUUUUUCUCUUAUAUGAUCUCAGAAAAAGUUGUCCAAGGACAUGUUCUAUGAAGCUACAAAGUUCAGUGUUGCAGUAUUGCAGACUGAAAAUUUGUUCUAUGAAGCCUGACUUGGCGGCCAACAUAUCCUCGUCGCUUGUCUACUUGAUCAAUAGUUGUGUGUUCUCGCCGUCGUCGAGACUCUGCAACUUUAUAUAUCUGUGGGCAGAGUUAACCAACAGAUGGAACACACUUUAAUUGUUGUCUUGGUUUGCAGAGAAGGCCAAUUUGGCUCCCGGGCUCAGCUGCACCCGUGCCGACGAAAAAAAUCAAAACAAAUACUAGAAAAAUUCAAAAAAUUCCAACUUUUUUUGUGUGGUAGACAAUUUGAUGCGUGAGGUUCGCUGCAAAAUUCAACUCGUUUGGACAUUUGAGCAUCUGUAGAAAAAAAAGACAAAAUUGGGGUCCGUAAAAAAGUUUACUGUUCACGAACUGUUUUGACCCGAUUUGUCUUUUUUGCUGAGAGCUGCUCAAAUGUCCAAAUGAGUUGAAAUUUGCAGAGGUCCUCACGCAACAAAUUAUCUAGUACACAAUUUUUUUUGGAUUUUUUUGAUUUUUUUUAGUAUUUAUUUUGAAUUUUUUCUGAGCGGGAGCAUCUGAGCCUGGGCUCAGACGCGGAUUUUCGUGGUUUGCACUCUUAUUAUCCUCUCAUAAAUCGAUUCAUCCGUAUAUGUAACUGAAACUGUAGUGGAUUCGAUCUAUUAAUCCCUAUAUGUAACUGAA